UUCCUUCUUGUAUAUUUUGAAGGUAAAGCCUGCUCAGUGGGUAUAUUAAACAGCCGCGGUAUUUAAGCUGCGCGAAGGUAGCAUAAUUAAUUGUCUUUUAAUUGGUGACUUGUUUGAAUGGCUUAAUGAGGGCUAAUCUUUUUGUAUGCUUAAAUGAACUUAUUUUCUAGGGUCAAAAAACCUAGAUUAAUAAAAAAGAAGAGAAGACCCUGAUGAGUUUUACAAUUUAAUAUUGUUUUAAUGGGGCCUUAUAGUUUAUUUCAUACUAUAUUUGAUCCUACCUUGAGGAAAAAGGGAUAAAUUACCACAGGGAUAACAGGACAAAAUUUACUAAGAGUGCAUAUCUAAGUAAGAAAAUGUUACCUCGAUGUUGAAUCAAAGUUAACUUUUAGGCGCAGAAGUUUUUGGAGUAGGUCUGUUCGACCUUUAAAACUUUACG
rnacentral:rRNA from 1 species